AUUGAACGCUGGCGGCAGGCCUAACACAUGCAAGUCGAACGGCAGCGGGGGAUAGCUUGCUAUCCUGCCGGCGAGUGGCGGACGGGUGAGUAAUGCAUGGGGAGCUGCCCAGUCGAGGGGGAUAACAACUGGAAACGGUUGCUAAUACCGCAUACGCCCUGAGGGGGAAAGGUGGGGAACUUCGGUCCUACCGCGAUUGGAUGCGCCCAUGUGGGAUUAGCUAGUUGGUGAGGUAACGGCUCACCAAGGCGACGAUCUCUAGCUGGUCUGAGAGGAUGACCAGCCACACUGGAACUGAGACACGGUCCAGACUCCUACGGGAGGCAGCAGUGGGGAAUAUUGCACAAUGGGGGAAACCCUGAUGCAGCCAUGCCGCGUGUGUGAAGAAGGCCUUCGGGUUGUAAAGCACUUUCAGUCAGGAGGAAGGGGUGAUGGCUAAUAUCCAUCAUCAUUGACGUUACUGACAGAAGAAGCACCGGCUAACUCCGUGCCAGCCGCCGCAGUAA
rnacentral:rRNA from 1 species